CCUACGGGAGGCAGCAGUGGGGAAUAUUGGACAAUGGGCGAAAGCCUGAUCCAGCAAUGCCGCGUGAGUGAUGAAGGCCUUAGGGUUGUAAAGCUCUUUUACCAGGGAUGAUAAUGACAGUACCUGGAGAAUAAGCUCCGGCUAACUCCGUGCCAGCAGCCGCGGUAAUACGGAGGGAGCUAGCGUUGUUCGGAAUUACUGGGCGUAAAGCGUACGUAGGCGGUUAUUCAAGUCAGAGGUGAAAGCCCGGGGCUCAACCCCGGAACUGCCUUUGAAACUAGAUAGCUAGAAUCUUGGAGAGGUUAGUGGAAUUCCGAGUGUAGAGGUGAAAUUCGUAGAUAUUCGGAAGAACACCAGUGGCGAAGGCGACUAACUGGACAAGUAUUGACGCUGAGGUACGAAAGCGUGGGGAGCAAACAGGAUUAGAUACCCUGGUAGUCCACGCCGUAAACGAUGAUAACUAGUUGUUCGGGCACUUGGUGCCUGAGUGACGCAGCUAACGCAUUAAGUUAUCCGCCUGGGGAGUACGGUCGCAAGAUUAAAACUCAAAAGAUAGUAGGCGUGNGAGAGCGACGACGACGACGACGGAGGAGG
rnacentral:rRNA from 1 species